rnacentral:rRNA from 1 species
GCCUACGGGAGGCAGCAGUGAGGAAUAUUGGUCAAUGGCCGAGAGGCUGAACCAGCCAAGUCGCGUGAGGGAAGAAUGUCCUAAGGAUUGUAAACCUCUUUUGUCGGGGAGCAAAAAGGCUCUGCGGAGUCGUGUUGAGAGUACCCGAAGAAAAAGCAUCGGCUAACUCCGUGCCAGCAGCCGCGGUAAUACGGAGGAUGCGAGCGUUAUCCGGAUUUAUUGGGUUUAAAGGGUGCGCAGGCGGCCUGUUAAGUCAGCAGUAAAAGCCCGGGGCUCAACCCCGGCGAGCCGUUGAAACUGGCGGG